AGCGAACGCUGGCGGCAGGCCUAACACAUGCAAGUCGAACGAAGUCUUCGGACUUAGUGGCGGACGGGUGAGUAACACGUGGGAACGUGCCUUUAGGUUCGGAAUAACUCAGGGAAACUUGUGCUAAUACCGAAUGUGCCCUUCGGGGGAAAGAUUUAUCGCCUUUGGAGCGGCCCGCGUCUGAUUAGCUUGUUGGUGAGGUAAUGGCUCACCAAGGCUACGAUCAGUAGCUGGUCUGAGAGGAUGGCCAGCCACACUGGGACUGAGACACGGCCCAGACUCCUACGGGAGGCAGCAGUGGGGAAUCUUGCGCAAUGGGCGAAAGCCUGACGCACCCAUGCCGCGUGGAUGAUGAAGGUCUUAGGAUUGUAAAAUCCUUUCACCGGGGACGAUAAUGACGGUACCCGGAGAAGAAGCCCCGGCUAACUUCGUGCCAGCCGCCGCAGUAAGAC
rnacentral:rRNA from 1 species